UACGUAGGGUGCGAGCGUUAAUCGGAAUUACUGGGCGUAAAGCGUGCGCAGGCGGUUUUGUAAGACAGAUGUGAAAUCCCCGGGCUCAACCUGGGAAUGGCAUUUGGGACUGCAAGGCUGGAGUGCGGCAGAGGAGACUGGAAUUCCUGGUGUAGCAGUGAAAUGCGUAGAUAUGCGGAGGAACACCGAUGGCGAAGGCAAUCCCCUGGACCUGUACUGACGCUCAUGCACGAAAGCGUGGGGAGCAAACAGG
rnacentral:rRNA from 1 species